rnacentral:rRNA from 1 species
CAGCCGCCGCGGGAAAACGAAGGGGGCUAGCGUUGCUCGGAAUUACUGGGCGUAAAGGGAGCGUAGGCGGAUGUUUAAGUCAGAGGUGAAAGCCCAGGGCUCAACCUUGGAACUGCCUUUGAUACUGGACAUCUUGAGUGUGGGAGAGGUAAGCGGAACUCCGAGUGUAGAGGUGAAGUUCGUAGAUAUUCGGAAGAACACCAGUGUCGAAGGCGGCUUACUGGCCCAUUACUGACGCUGAGGCUCGAAAGCGUGGGGAGCAAACAGGAUUAGAUACCCCCGUAGUCCCUGUCUCUUAUAC